rnacentral:rRNA from 1 species
UACGUAGGGCGCAAGCGUUGUCCGGAAUUAUUGGGCGUAAAGAGCUCGUAGGCGGCUUGUCACGUCGGGUGUGAAAGCCCGGGGCUUAACUCCGAAACUGCAUUCGAUACUGCCGUGCUUGAGGACUGGAGAGGAGACUGGAAUUUACGGUGUAGCGGUGAAAUGCGUAGAUAUCGUAAGGAAGACCAGUGGCGAAGGCGGGUCUCUGGACAGUUCCUGACGCUGAGGCACGAAGGUCAGGGGAGCAAACGGG